rnacentral:piRNA from 1 species
UGAAAAAGAGCAGUGUUUGUGUUGA